CGGUGGAUGAUGUGGUUUAAUUCGAUGCAACGCGAAAACUUACUCACCUUUGACAUGUACGGAAUCCUUUAGAGAUAGAGGAGUGCUCGAAAGAGAACCGUAACACGGGUGCUGCAUGGCUGUCGUCAGCUCGUGUCGUGAGAUGUUGGGUUAAGUCCCGCAACGAGCGCAACCCUUGUCAUUAGUUGCUACAUUCAGUUGGGCACUCUAAUGAGACUGCCGGUGACAAACCGGAGGAAGGUGGGGAUGACGUCAAGUCCUCAUGGCCCUUAUAGGUGGGGCUACACACGUCAUACAAUGGAUGGUACAAAGGGUCGCCAACCCGCGAGGGGGAGCCAAUCCCAUAAAGCCAUUCGUAGUCCGGAUCGCAGUCUGCAACUCGACUGCGUGAAGUCGGAAUCGCUAGUAAUCGUGGAUCAGAAUGCCACGGUGAAUACGUUCCCGGGUCUU
rnacentral:rRNA from 1 species